rnacentral:snRNA from 1 species
GUCCCUAAGGGGACAUCCGAUAAAAUUGUAACGAUACAGAGAAGAUUAGCAUGACCCCUGCGCAAGGAUGACACGCACAAAUCAAGUCAUCUGGAUUCAA